ACCCUCUCCGGAUUCUGGCCUGAAACGGAUUCCCUGAUGAUGGUUUACACAGUAACAGGGAGAGGAGAUGAGGAUUUACAGGAAAUGAGGUGUGACUGCAAGCAGGUGACAGGAGGUGACUAUUAACAAGGCGUUACUCCAAACGCCUCUAUGAGCGCAGGCGCGGUUUGACUUGCAUCUAUCUGCUCUGCCCACAGCUAUGGGUAGAGCCAGGGUAGAACAUGCUGUUUCUGCUACUGACCAAUCCUAUGGGAUUUCUGUGCCUCUGUCUUUCCCAAUUCGGACCUCAGGGACCACAGAAAGUCCAACGUGGAUUGUCUUGUAGGGAGCUCUGAGGGAGCAAAAAUGUGGACUGUCUAACAGGGAGCUCGGAGGGAGCAAAAACAUGGACCGACUGUGGGUCCCCAAGGACUAGACUGGGAAACACGGUUCUAAAGUAACGGCAUGACAAGCAGCUGGAGCACACAAUCCCAGACGUGGCUUCAGAUCUACAGCUGAUCUAAAGGUAUGAAUGAGAGAAGAACAAAAGCUAAGAACAUCUCUGAAUCUCUGGAGGUAUUAGUCAUCUCUGAAUCCGUGACAGACACAGCUGUCCGCAAUGACAACGAGCCUGCAAGAAUAUGAACUGGGAUGUAGCCUUCCAACUAGCGUCACAAACACCUUCACUUCCCGCUGAAAAAUCGUAUGGUGCAUGGAGGACUCCUAAGCAAGCUUCAGUGCCGGAAACCAGCAGUUUGCAGACUUCUGACAGAUCAUCGGACCCCCUUUGCUGCUAAGUAGUAGAAUACCUGCCUAUUUGGUCACUCCCAUAGUGGAACAGUUGGAAAUUUGAGUCCCUCAUGGUCACAGUUCCUGAAUGGCACAGCUGAGAUCUGAACUCUGAGCUGAGCUGCAGGCCACAGGCAAACACUGCUUGAAUGAUGCCUUGUACUCACCAGAUUAACCUUUACCAGAUUAAUGGACCUUAGCCUGUGAAAUUACAUCAAGUCUCCCCCAGGGAUUUGAAUUACGAACGUUCACUAUAUUAAUAUAUGUCCUGUAUUAUAAUGGUGCUGGUUUUGUUACUCAGCCAUGGUAAAAAUAAAUUAAAUCUGGAAUUUGGUGACAAAAAUGUCUUUAUACAACAAUUAUGACCAAGAAAUCUGAUUGGACAAGAAACUUUCUAUGAGUGGUUAUCAGAGUAUAACCGUACUUGGACAUUUCACAUCAGCUGUAUCCCUCCACUUUACAGGUGUACCAAAAGAAGUCGGUGCUGGGCCAGUUCUCGCUUGGUGCCUUUUGAGAACCUGCCUGUGUUUCCACUGGUUUCAAAAAUUAACGUAGGUGCAAGUACGAGUAAAGUAAAGCUUCAUAUGUAUUUCGUUUUGUUUGAUUUAUUUUGAUCUGUUUUGGAUUUGAAGUUUUUAUAAGGUGCCGAACCGAAAAAACGUUGCAGAGUGUGAUUUGUUGUGCUCUGUCUCAGCUGCCUGUAUCCUCUUUUUUCUCUUUAAAGGCUCCCCGUCUGUGUGCGUAAGUGACUUUAUUCUUUAUUCCCGCUUGUUGUUUUACUGCAGUCCUUUUAAGAAUCGUGCAAUAAAGAGUUUGCUAAUAAC